AAAGAGGGAACAGUUACAAUUGUUCAGGUGUUCCCCUGUUUAUGUGAGUUGUUGCAAUUAACUGUCUUCUAAGAAGACAUCCUCAGAGCUGUAACUUUUACUAACGUGAGAAUAUCUUUGUUAUUUAUUCCUGUCACUUCUGAGUGUCUCUUUGUCAAAGUUUAUCUUUGCAGCAUGGCUUUAUAGGUGGAAAACUAAGAAGCACGAAAAUCAUGAGUGAAGAGGUGAACCAACUUGCUCUGUGCCAUGCAUGGCAUAAAAAAGCAAGGAUGGGAACUGAUGCCUGACCUUUCAGGAUAGCACCGUGUAGGAGGACCUUCUGCAGGGUUCACUAACCAAUCACGUCUUACUGAUUCUACUCAAGCUGAAGCUCCUAAGAAGAAUGAUGGUCACCGAGUAAUGCUGACAGCAAGGAGGACUUUCCAGCACCCACUUGGCCAACUACAGCAAGUAAGGAACCUUGUGGCACGGUAAGAUCUAUGCUAUAGAGAGAAGAGAUCCCCCCUCCCUGAUCACUCUGACCAACUUUUAAAUACACUUUCUAAAAGAACACAAGCAAAAUUAUUGCUAUUGUGAUGCAGCAGUAAAAAAUGAAUACUUCUAAUUUCAUACAAUUUCACAAGGUUACUCUUUUUGUUAUGCUAACAGUUUUCAGCAGCACAGGAUUCAUCCCUUCAGAGGCAUGUUCAGCCAGAAAGUCUUCAUCCAUACCUGCGUUUGGAUUUCAAACCAAGGUCGAAGACAGAGACCCCCACUCUGGAUGCAGACUAGCCCAAAGCACUUGAUAGUAUUUUUCAACACUGUUUCUUCUCUAAAACUGCAGUGCCUUUUGAAAUAAGAGUGUAGUGAUUGUAUACCACCAACUCCACUUCUUUUACUUAAAUUAAUCUAAGUCCGUGUUUCAAUGAAUAAUUGUAUAAGUACAGUCUCUAUGUAUUAAGACGAUAUCUAGAUGCGGAGACCUUCCCAUUCCUGUGCUCUCAUUAAGACAGGAAUACAUACAAUAAGCAAGAAUACAUUUUGUCUGACUUAAUAAUUCUCAGGAUUCAAUGUGAAAUAUGAAGCAGACUCAGAAACCUCCUUGUAUUCCAAACUGGUUUCACUUUGGGCCCUGGAGAAUUCACUCAUUCAGCACCCACUGACUUACAGAACUGAGCAGCAGACUAAGCUUAAGACUGUACCUUCUAAGACAAGGAGAAGCGUUUUUGCUCCAGCAGAAAGUUCCAUUUCUUACGAUGAUACCUGCCUGUACUAAAAUAUGAGGAGAAACAGAACAUUUGCAAAUUCAAAGGAACUGGAUUAGUGCUGAGAGAAAUCCAGAAGCACGCUUGGAGGUUCAAGUCAUUUGCUUCUCACCUGCUCUUGGAUUUAUUAAGGAGGACAUCUUGUGGCUGAUAGAACCACCAGUAUGUGAUUUUGGACAGAAAAGAGCUGCUGGCUUCUGGACAUUGAUUCUGAUGGGAGGAAAAACAUGGAUGAUAUUUAUAUGGAGAAAAGGGAAUGUGUCAUAUGAUGUCCCUUCUGCACUUUUCCAAGAAAAAGAAUCAAAAGGCUACCUAGCCCCCACUCCUUGCUUCUGACAGUAAUUGUUGACAGCUUUAGAGAAGAAGGGAGGUUGAUCGACUAAGCAGAAUAACACAAGUUCACCAAGCACCAGGCUAGCAUAAAGGGCACGCUGGAUUUUGGAACUAAACAUCACAACUGCAGACAAGAAUGUGAGCAGCCAGUAAAUCAGCAUGAUGCCUGAAGACUGGAUGCCCAUUUUUCUUUCCGCUUGGGUAAGAAACAUGGC